rnacentral:rRNA from 1 species
UCGAGGAUCUUCGGCAAUGAGCGCAAGCUUGACCGAGCGACGCCGCGUGUGCGAUGAAGGCCUUCGGGUUGUAAAGCACUGUCGAGAGGGAGAAAGGGAAACUUGAUCUAUCUCUGGAGGAAGCACGGGCUAAGUUCGUGCCAGCAGCCGCGGUAAGACGAACCGUGCGAACGUUGUUCGGAAUCACUGGGCUUAAAGGGCGCGUAGGCGGGUCGCCAAGUUUGGGGUGAAAUCCUCCCGCUCAACGGGAGAACGGCCUUGGAUACUGGCGAUCUCGAGGGGGAUAGGGGCAUGCGGAACUACGGGUGGAGCGGUGAAAUGCGUUGAUAUCCGUAGGAACUCCGGUGGCGAAGGCGGCGUGCUGGAUCCCUUCUGACGCUGAGGCGCGAAAGCCAGGGGAGCAAACGGG